GACGAACGCUGGCGGCGUGCUUAACACAUGCAAGUCGAACGGAAAGGCCCUGCUUUUGUGGGGUGCUCGAGUGGCGAACGGGUGAGUAACACGUGAGUAACCUGCCCUUGACUUUGGGAUAACUUCAGGAAACUGGGGCUAAUACCGGAUAGGAGCUCCUGCUGCAUGGUGGGGGUUGGAAAGUUUCGGCGGUUGGGGAUGGACUCGCGGCUUAUCAGCUUGUUGGUGGGGUAGUGGCUUACCAAGGCUUUGACGGGUAGCCGGCCUGAGAGGGUGACCGGCCACAUGGGAACUGGGAUACGGCCCAGACUCCUACGGGAGGCAGCAGUGGGGAAUAUUGCACAAUGGGCGGAAGCCUGAUGCAGCAACGCCGCGUGCGGGAUGACGGCCUUCGGGUUGUAAACCGCUUUCGCCUGUGACGAAGCGUGAGUGACGGUAAUGGGUAAAGAAGCACCGGCUAACUACGU
rnacentral:rRNA from 1 species